rnacentral:lncRNA from 1 species
UUAACAUUUACACUUGCUUGAUGAGAAGAUGUUGAAAUACUCACAAGUACACUUACUAAAUAAAAGAAAUGGCAGUGCUCACCGGCUACCUCCAAAUGUUGACAAGGGACACAGAGCCCAUCCCAGGAUUCUGCCUCCAAGCUGCUGCAUCAAAUCUCUCCUGAGUUUCUAGCCCACCUCCUUGCCCUGUGGAUUUCAAACUCAAGACUGCAGUAUCAGUUCCCAACUUAGUUUCCAGCCUGCUGGUCCACCGUACAGAUUUCAAACUUCUAAUACUCCACAAUCACAGAAGCCAGGUCCUUAAGAUUUGGAGACUGGAAAGUCCAAUAUCAAAGCUCUGGAAGAGGUCAAUUCUUGGUGAGGGUUCUCUUCCUGGUUUGCACAUGGCACCUUCUCACUGUCUCAUCACAAGGAGGAGAGAGAGCAGCCUCUCUGGUGUUCCGUCUUGGAAGAGCUCUUAAUCCCAUCAAGAGGACUCCACCUUCACGACCUCAUCUAAACCUAAUUACCUACCAAAGGACCCAACUACAAAUACCACCACAUAGAAGGUUAGGGCGUCAACAUCUGAAUCAAGGGAAGUGGGCACAAUCUAGUCCAUAGCACAGCAUCUCUCUCCCCGCCUCUCUCUCUAGAUGAAUAGGCAGAUAGACAGAUACAUCAAUAUCCUAUUGUUUCUGUUUCUCUGGAGAACCCUGAACCCUACAUCUCUUGCAUUUUAUCAUCUCUGAAAUCCAAAUUCCAUAAUGGCAUCCUCUGACCAAAUCAGUCCUUCAAAGUCAUUCACAUUUUUUUUUUUUUUUUGAGAUGGAGUCUUGCUCUGUAGCCCAGGCUGGAGUGCAGUGGCGCCAUCUCAGCUCACUGCAACCUUCACCUCCCGAGUUCAAGCAAUUCUCCUGACUCAACCUCCCAAGGAGCUGAGCUAACAGGCGUGUGCCACCACGCCCGGCUAAUUUUUUGUAUUUUUAGUAGAGAUGGGGUUUCACUGUGUUAGCCAAGGUGGUCUUGAUCUCCUGACCUCGUGAUCCACCCGCCUCGGCCUCCCAAAGUGCUGUGAUUACAGGCGUGAGCCACCGCGCCCGGCCUCAUUCACUUUCUUACUGCCAUUCCAGCCGCUCUUCAUCUUCAGCGAGACCUCCAAUCCCUAGGCCACUUUACUUUGUGCAAAAUGAUCAACUGCCAUCCAGCUUCAGUCCACCUUCAGCUGGGUACUCAAUGCUGCCAUCGUCACUUUCUCAGAAGUUACUCCAGAUUUUCACCUCACUCUUCAAAUCACUAAAGUCAUCAAUGGCUUUCAUUUUGCCCAACCAAUCAGUACUUUUCUGUUCUCAUUUUAAGAUUUUUUUGCCUUUUUACUCUAUUGAUUACCCUGUGUCCCUUCACAUUACAUUUGCA